ensembl:snoRNA
GGCCUCCUGGUGCUUACCACAGGCUGUGUUCUGAUGCUGACUAUGUAGAAAGUUGAACCAAUGUAAACUUACCCCAAAUUCACCUCUGCCUAGACCCUGUGCCAGGUCUGAAUUGUGAAUUGGAAGAAGUAU